AAACUACUCCCUCCGAUCCAUCUUAGUUGUCGAAAUAUUACAUGUAUCUAGACGCUUUUUAGGCAUAGAUACAUCCAUAUUUGGGCAAAUUUGAGACAAUUAAUAUGGAUCGGAGGGAGUACAUA
rfam:Brachypodium distachyon strain Bd21 chromosome 4, whole genome shotgun sequence.